ensembl:lncRNA
AUUAGAGAGGGGCUUAUGCGAGUAUCCUUUGCUAUUACCCUGUGGUCAUUGUCGAGGGUUUGAACACUAUCGCCUAGGCACGAUCCUGACCCUGAGCAUUCACAGGGACCUAAACCAGACCUAAACCAGACGUGUGUUUGACUCUUGCACUCCAAUGGAGGUUGAAGGCAAUUCCAAUACUGGGAGGACAGGCGCCAGUAUUGGAGAUGCGCUCGAAUCUGGAAGGACAGCGGUACCACGGGCAGGUGGUGUAGUGCUGGACCUGUCAGCAGUUGGAGGGAUUCCCCGCUGCUCAGACCUGUAAAACCUUCUUGGUUCAGAGCAACCCGGAGGAGCAGCUCCCGGAUCUGGGAGAGGAGGCCAAGAUGUGGCAGAAAGAGAAGUAUGACUUUGUUCCAGGUGAGGACAAGGACCAAGAAGACGUGAAUCCCACAACAGCAGGGGACCUCGCGCACACUGAAGAUGACAACAUAAUCAAUGCAAAACCUGGUACGGAUCAGGGUGGGGCACAAUGGUGAGUCAGAGGCAAAACCUGGU